rnacentral:rRNA from 2 species
UUAAUUUGAGAGUUUGAUCCUGGCUCAGGACGAACGCUGGCGGCGUGCCUAAUACAUGCAAGUCGAACGAACUCUGGUAUUGAUUGGUGCUUGCAUCAUGAUUUACAUUUGAGUGAGUGGCGAACUGGUGAGUAACACGUGGGAAACCUGCCCAGAAGCGGGGGAUAACACCUGGAAACAGAUGCUAAUACCGCAUAACAACUUGGACCGCAUGGUCCGAGUUUGAAAGAUGGCUUCGGCUAUCACUUUUGGAUGGUCCCGCGGCGUAUUAGCUAGAUGGUGGGGUAACGGCUCACCAUGGCAAUGAUACGUAGCCGACCUGAGAGGGUAAUCGGCCACAUUGGGACUGAGACACGGCCCAAACUCCUACGGGAGGCAGCAGUAGGGAAUCUUCCACAAUGGACGAAAGUCUGAUGGAGCAACGCCGCGUGAGUGAAGAAGGGUUUCGGCUCGUAAAACUCUGUUGUUAAAGAAGAACAUAUCUGAGAGUAACUGUUCAGGUAUUGACGGUAUUUAACCAGAAAGCCACGGCUAACUACGUGCCAGCAGCCGCGGUAAUACGUAGGUGGCAAGCGUUGUCCGGAUUUAUUGGGCGUAAAGCGAGCGCAGGCGGUUUUUUAAGUCUGAUGUGAAAGCCUUCGGCUCAACCGAAGAAGUGCAUCGGAAACUGGGAAACUUGAGUGCAGAAGAGGACAGUGGAACUCCAUGUGUAGCGGUGAAAUGCGUAGAUAUAUGGAAGAACACCAGUGGCGAAGGCGGCUGUCUGGUCUGUAACUGACGCUGAGACUCGAAAGUAUGGGUAGCAAACAGGAUUAGAUACCCUGGUAGUCCAUACCGUAAACGAUGAAUGCUAAGUGUUGGAGGGUUUCCGCCCUUCAGUGCUGCAGCUAACGCAUUAAGCAUUCCGCCUGGGGAGUACGGCCGCAAGGCUGAAACUCAAAGGAAUUGACGGGGGCCCGCACAAGCGGUGGAGCAUGUGGUUUAAUUCGAAGCUACGCGAAGAACCUUACCAGGUCUUGACAUACUAUGCAAAUCUAAGAGAUUAGACGUUCCCUUCGGGGACAUGGAUACAGGUGGUGCAUGGUUGUCGUCAGCUCGUGUCGUGAGAUGUUGGGUUAAGUCCCGCAACGAGCGCAACCCUUAUUAUCAGUUGCCAGCAUUAAGUUGGGCACUCUGGUGAGACUGCCGGUGACAAACCGGAGGAAGGUGGGGAUGACGUCAAAUCAUCAUGCCCCUUAUGACCUGGGCUACACACGUGCUACAAUGGAUGGUACAACGAGUUGCGAACUCGCGAGAGUAAGCUAAUCUCUUAAAGCCAUUCUCAGUUCGGAUUGUAGGCUGCAACUCGCCUACAUGAAGUCGGAAUCGCUAGUAAUCGCGGAUCAGCAUGCCGCGGUGAAUACGUUCCCGGGCCUUGUACACACCGCCCGUCACACCAUGAGAGUUUGUAACACCCAAAGUCGGUGGGGUAACCUUUUAGGAACCAGCCGCCUAAGGUGGGACAGAUGAUUAGGGUGAAGUCGUAACAAGGUAGCCGUAGGAGAACCUGCGGCUGGAUCACCUCCUUUCUAAGGAA